GCCGAAGUAGCUCAGCCUGGCAGAGCAAUGCUUUCGUAAAGCAUGGGUCGUGAGUUCGAAUCUCACCUUCGGCUCCA
rnacentral:tRNA from 1 species